rnacentral:rRNA from 1 species
UGAGCAAUCUGCCCUUCUCAUCGGAAUAACCAUUGGAAACGAUGGCUAAUGCCGAAUAUGACCUCGGAUCACAUGUUCUGAGGUGGAAAGCUCCGGCGGAGAAGGAUGAGCUCGCGGCCUAUCAGCUUGUUGGUGAGGUAAUGGCUCACCAAGGCAUUGACGGGUAGCCGGCCUGAGAGGGUGACCGGCCACACUGGGACUGAGACACCGGCA